rnacentral:rRNA from 1 species
CCUACGGGUGGCUUCAGUGGGGAAUAUUGGACAAUGGGCGAAAGCCUGAUCCAGCCAUGCCGCGUGUGUGAAGAAGGCCUUCGGGUUGUAAAGCACUUUCAGUGGGGAAGAAAGCCUUGGGGCUAAUACCCUCGAGGAAGGACAUCACCCACAGAAGAAGCACCGGCUAACUCCGUGCCAGCAGCCGCGGUAAUACGGAGGGUGCGAGCGUUAAUCGGAAUUACUGGGCGUAAAGCGCGCGUAGGCGGUCUGAUAAGCCGGUUGUGAAAGCCCCGGGCUCAACCUGGGAACGGCAUCCGGAACUGUCAGGCUAGAGUGCAGGAGAGGAAGGUAGAAUUCCCGGUGUAGCGGUGAAAUGCGUAGAGAUCGGGAGGAAUACCAGUGGCGAAGGCGGCCUUCUGGACUGACACUGACGCUGAGGUGCGAAAGCGUGGGUAGCAAACAGGAUUAGAUACCCUGGUAGUC